UCUAAUGGGCCUCAGAUGACUGUUUGCUUAAAUUUGGGUCUCAAAGAAUCUUUUUUUAAUUCUGCCUGUACUCUCCACCCCUCUUCUUCUAUUGCUCAGGUUGAAGCAGAAUUUGCCCGUCUUACAUCUGUUGACCUGAAAGGGUUCCUUUUUGCUGUGCUUGACCAUUAUGGAGAGGUUCGUGGAGCUGUACAAAAUCAAGAGCGGCAUAGAAAGGCUAACUAGGCUCAUAAGAUGCUUCGGAGAUGAUAGCCCUACACAAAGGAAGAGGACAGAGGACCUCAUUUUCUAAAGGAAGAUCCCUCACACACUUUCAAGACUGUGAAGCCGACAGGUAUUGAAGACACGUUUUCUAAGAGGAUGAAAGUUGGCAUUGCGAUGGUGAAAGAAGAAGACAUCAUCGAUGUGUUGGUUGUCCUUG